CACAUCUACUCCUGAAAGCACCAAUGUGUUUCAAAAAAGAUGAUGUGCAUAAAAAGACUUCAUAUGAAGCCUGUUUUCUUUAUUGCAAAGAUAUCCAUGUGGGCAAAGAAAUUACCCUUGCCUCAAGUGCUGACAGUUACUAUUAAAACUGGACCAACAGAACACAAGAAAGCUAACUGCUGAGCUUUGCCAAGACAAGAAAGAAAAUAAAGCUGGAUGAGAUGAGUGCAUCUACAGCAGAGGAGUACCAACCCUGAUGACAUUGUAGCCACUGAUGACUUCAUAGCAGAAGCAGAAGGAGGUACCUGAACCAUUGUGCUUGACUGACAACAACUUGCUGCAGUCUGACUAGGGAAAGAAAAUUAUGGCAAAGACUGGUGAUUUCCAGCCUCUUAAUAGACUUGCUGGGCAAACUUCCAAACCAGGCAUUGUUGGUUCAUGACAGGGGAGGGAGCUGAAGCGGGCAACAGAAUUCUAACAACUGUGGAUACGAUGAAGACAGCCCUCCGGGAGAUGACUUCAAAAAGACAACUCAGCUUCAUUCUAAAGUGGAGUAGCUAUACAGGAAUGGGGAGCCUGGGGACAAACUCUAAGUUUCAUUAAACAGCACACUCCUA